rnacentral:tRNA from 1 species
GGAGAGGGUAUAGCUCAGUGGUAGAGCGUGUGCUUAGCAUGCACGAGGUCCUGGGUUCAAAUCCCAGUACCUCCA